rnacentral:rRNA from 1 species
AUUGAACGCUGGCGGCAGGCCUAACACAUGCAAGUCGAACGAGUGGCGGACGGGUGAGUAAUGUCUGGGAAACUGCCUGAUGGAGGGGGAUAACUACUGGAAACGGUAGCUAAUACCGCAUACCAUCGGAUGUGCCCAGAUGGGAUUAGCUAGUUGGUGGGGUAACGGCUCACCAAGGCGACGAGCCCUAGCUGGUCUGAGAGGAUGACCAGCCACACUGGAACUGAGACACGGCCCAGACUCCUACGUGAGGCAGCAGUUGGGAAUAUUGCACAAUGGGCGCAAGCCUGAUGCAGCCAUGCCGCGUGUAUGAAGAAGGCCUUCGGGUUGUAAAGUACUUUCGGCGGAGAAGCGUUACCCGCAGAAGAAGCACCGGCUAACUCCGUGCCAGCAGCCGCGGUAAUUC